UAGGGAAUCUUCCACAAUGGACGCAAGUCUGAUGGAGCAACGCCGCGUGAGUGAAGAAGGUCUUCGGAUCGUAAAACUCUGUUGUUAGAGAAGAACACGAGUGAGAGUAACUGUUCAUUCGAUGACGGUAUCUAACCAGCAAGUCACGGCUAACUACGUGCCAGCAGCCGCGGUAAUACGUAGGUGGCAAGCGUUGUCCGGAUUUAUUGGGCGUAAAGGGAACGCAGGCGGUCUUUUAAGUCUGAUGUGAAAGCCUUCGGCUUAACCGGAGUAGUGCAUUGGAAACUGUUUAACUUGAGUGCAGAAGGGGAGAGUGGAAUUCCAUGUGUAGCGGUGAAAUGCGUAGAUAUAUGGAGGAACACCGGUGGCGAAAGCGGCUCUCUGGUCUGUAACUGACGCUGAGGCUCGAAAGCGUGGGGAGCGAACAGGAUUAGAUACCCUGGUAGUCCACGCCGUAAACGAUGAGUGCUAGGUGUUAGGUCCUUUCCGGGACUUAGUGCCGCAGCUAACGCAUUAAGCACUCCGCCUGGGGAGUACGACCGCAAGGUUG
rnacentral:rRNA from 1 species